rnacentral:lncRNA from 1 species
CAUUGACAUCUUUCCUUUUAUCUUUUCGCGUCUUGUUUUUCCCAGUUCUUCCCUUCACAGCUGAUGCAAGAAAAUAUGAGUGAAGUCACAAAUGUCACCAAGGAAAGGAAGAACAGAAAAAUAACUUGAAUAUUCAAGAUGGGCAGACUAGUUCAACGACACAUCAAGCCUUGUGAAAAGGUGACUCCGAGCCUGUGGCAGGAAGACAAUGUAACAACCAUUACCAGUUCUCUGGGGCACUGCAGGCCACGUGAUGGUGAUGUCGAAGGCAGUGCUUCCUCAGUGUCAGAGUCAGCGUGGUGGCGUCUGUGCACAACCCUGGCAAGCUGGUCUUCUGCACCUUUAAUUUUGAGGAAGCUCACUGUCCGUCUGUCUAUAAUGCCAGGCCUGUUCUCCGUCCAGCUCAGCAGCGUGGCAGCCAUUCUUACACAAAGACAUCUGUGUAUCCAUUUCUAAGUACAGAGGUGAUCUGUGGUGUCGGCUGACAAGUUAUUCC